rnacentral:rRNA from 1 species
UACGUAGGGCGCAAGCGUUGUCCGGAAUUAUUGGGCGUAAAGAGCUCGUAGGUGGCUUGUCGCGUCUGCCGUGAAAGCCCAUGGCUUAACUGUGGGUCUGCGGUGGAUACGGGCUGGCUAGAGGUAGGUAGGGGCAAGCGGAAUUCCUGGUGUAGCGGUGAAAUGCGCAGAUAUCAGGAAGAACACCCGUGGCUAAGGCGGCUCUCUAGUACGGUACUGACGCUGAGACGCGAAAGCGUGGGGAGCGAACAGG